rnacentral:snoRNA from 1 species
AUAAUGUCCUGUGUGGCAGGCCUAUUCCCCUGGGUGUCUCAUGGUGCCCCAUGCCAGAGCAAACUGUGGAUCCAAACCAUGGCUGGCCUCUCCCUGUAGGGGUGGCACUGAAGUGGGUUUCACAGUG